rnacentral:rRNA from 1 species
GAGGAAAAGAAAUCAACCGAGAUUCCCCCAGUAGCGGCGAGCGAACGGGGAGCAGCCCAGAGCCUGAAUCAGUGUGUGUGUUAGUGGAAGCGUCUGGAAAGGCGCGCGAUACAGGGUGACAGCCCCGUACACAAAAAUGCACAUGCUGUGAGCUCGAUGAGUAGGGCGGGACACGUGGUAUCCUGUCUGAAUAUGGGGGGACCAUCCUCCAAGGCUAAAUACUCCUGACUGACCGAUAGUGAACCAGUACCGUGAGGGAAAGGCGAAAAGAACCCCGGCGAGGGGAGUGAAAAAGAACCUGAAACCGUGUACGUACAAGCAGUGGGAGCACGCUUAGGCGUGUGACUGCGUACCUUUUGUAUAAUGGGUCAGCGACUUAUAUUCUGUAGCAAGGUUAACCGAAUAGGGGAGCCGAAGGGAAACCGAGUCUUAACUGGGCGUUAAGUUGCAGGGUAUAGACCCGAAACCCGGUGAUCUAGCCAUGGGCAGGUUGAAGGUUGGGUAACACUAACUGGAGGACCGAACCGACUAAUGUUGAAAAAUUAGCGGAUGACUUGUGGCUGGGGGUGAAAGGCCAAUCAAACCGGGAGAUAGCUGGUUCUCCCCGAAAGCUAUUUAGGUAGCGCCUCGUGAAUUCAUCUCCGGGGGUAGAGCACUGUUUCGGCAAGGGGGUCAUCCCGACUUACCAACCCGAUGCAAACUGCGAAUACCGGAGAAUGUUAUCACGGGAGACACACGGCGGGUGCUAACGUCCGUCGUGAAGAGGGAAACAACCCAGACCGCCAGCUAAGGUCCCAAAGUCAUGGUUAAGUGGGAAACGAUGUGGGAAGGCCCAGACAGCCAGGAUGUUGGCUUAGAAGCAGCCAUCAUUUAAAGAAAGCGUAAUAGCUCACUGGUCGAGUCGGCC